rnacentral:lncRNA from 1 species
ACUUGCCAUGCUUGGCUUAUAUUUUGCGUGUGCUACAUUCUUGACCCCGUUUUUGAUUGUUGUUGAACUAUAUGCAUCACGAGCAUAUGCUUGUAACCGCAUGAUUAAUACAUAAGAUUAGAGGCUGUUGAAAGCUUGAGGAAAGCACCAUUGGUUUCUUUUUUUGAGCUUAGAGCUUGGACAUGGAUAACUAUUUAUUUUUUUGGCUUUAUAGGGAUAGAUAUAAACAUGUGAAUGAUGGGUCUGCAAGAAUGCCGUAUAACU